AGGGACAGACACUGUAAACAUCCUACACUCUCAGCUGUGGAAAGUGAAAGCUGGGAGAAGGCUGUUUACUCUCUCUGCCUU
rnacentral:pre_miRNA from 1 species